AACGAACGCUGGCGGCAUGCCUAACACAUGCAAGUCGAACGAGACCUUCGGGCCUAGUGGCGCACGGGUGCGUAACGCGUGGGAACCUGCCCUUAGGUUCGGAAUAACUCCCCGAAAGGGGUGCUAAUACCGGAUAAUGUCUUCGGACCAAAGAUUUAUCGCCUUUGGAUGGGCCCGCGUUGGAUUAGCUAGUUGGUAGGGUAAAAGCCUACCAAGGCGACGAUCCAUAGCUGGUCUGAGAGGAUGAUCAGCCACACUGGGACUGAGACACGGCCCAGACUCCUACGGGAGGCAGCAGUGAGGAAUAUUGGACAAUGGGCGAAAGCCUGAUCCAGCAAUGCCGCGUGAGUGAUGAAGGCCUUAGGGUUGUAAAGCUCUUUUACCCGGGAUGAUAAUGACAGUACCGGGAGAAUAAGCUCCGGCUAACUCCGUG
rnacentral:rRNA from 1 species